UACGUAGGGUGCGAGCGUUAAUCGGAAUUACUGGGCGUAAAGCGUGCGUAGGCGGUUCGUUAAGUGCGUCGUGAAAGCCCCGGGCUCAACCUGGGAAUGGCGAUGGAAACUGGCGGGCUGGAGUAUGGCAGAGGGGGGUGGAAUUCCGCGUGUAGCAGUGAAAUGCGUAGAUAUGCGGAGGAACACCGAUGGCGAAGGCAAUCCCCUGGGCCUGCACUGACGCUCAUGCACGAAAGCGUGGGGAGCAAACAGG
rnacentral:rRNA from 1 species